CAGAAAAUACAAAGUCAUCGAUAAACAAUCGGCGCUCGAGAGAUGCGUGUUCCAUUGCGGGAUUGCUUAAGAUCUAAUGAGAAAUUACAGUGUGCUAUAUUACGAGUACUUGGAUACGACAUGUCGUUGAAGAAAAACUUAGCCUUGAAUCCGAGCUCAUGCGCGACAAGACGAGAUUCGACGCAGUGAAACGAUGUGUGCUUGCAAAUAUUAUUUUAUCGACGCAAGCCAGAUGGUCACGUGCGCGUAAUGACAGCUGCGAGGAACAUCUGCGUCUGCUUAGUCGUCAAAUAUAAGAAACAAUUCAAAUGCAAAAUCGUUCAGCCAAACAAAUUUUUCGCUAAACAGCAAGACCAUGAAGAAAGCCAUGAAGAAAAAAGAUCUAAAUAAUAAUUAUUAUACGCAACAACUGAAUGAUGCAAAUGCGAUGUUACGAAACAUCGAGCCGCAUCAGCUGCGCCUGCCGUAUUCAAUUUGAAUGCAGAGGCGCAUCCAGAAUGCAUCCACGCACAUCCGCAGCUGGUACGCGCACUAUCAUUUAGCCAGCGCAUCUGUGUAAUUGUCUAUUAAAACCCGAGAGGCUAAUUUUUGUUUUCUAGAAGUUAUAUACAACGGAAACUGGUAAUUCAACAUAUAAUCGAGCGUUUACGAGAGAAGUUUUGGUUCGUCUAAUUGCCGUUAAUCGUCAGGUAUAUUUUACUUAGAAUUUUAAAAUACGUGUUUUGCGCAGAUUCCGUGCAAAAUUUUCCUCUUCCUUUUUGUCAUGUAAAAACCAACAAACUCUACAAAAGAAUUUUGAGACAAACAAAUAUUUAUUUCAUUGUUCACGCGUUCAGAUCUCAAUUUAACUUAUUUAAUUUUAUUUUAAUAUUUUAAUUCUUUUUUAAGUCCACUCUAAAUUCUCGACAAAAUAAAGCAGAUCGUGUAAAAAAUAGAUUGUUGAAAUGUAUCCUUGAGAGCCUUUUAUUGCUCUCGAGUCGGAUGAAGAAACUGAACAAAUAUUUCCAAACUCGUUCUUCAUGAGAGAUAAAACUCAAUCUUUGCCUAGUGACACAAAUCUCCAACCGGGAACGAUCCUUCAACAAACGUCACGCUGGAAGUUUUACGACUGUGCGAAAAUGUUUGAGAUUAAACAUCAUUAACCGGUUAUUUGUCAAACAGUCGAUGCUCUCCAUGAUCUUCCACAGAAAAUUAGAUAUCCUUGAAAAAUCUCUACUCUCUUGUAAAUUAAAAAAAAAAAUCAUGCUACGUUUUUUAUAUAUAGAUAAGAGAUAUAAAGAAAAAUUUCAAUUUCUCUCGCAAAUCAAAAUAGCCAUUUGCUUCAUAAAAAUUGCGCUAAAGGUAUUCUAUUAAAUUCCUCGAAUCGCUAAUAUGUCAUUAUUCAUCGUAAAUGUAUCGUGCAUAAUUAUUUCUUCCGCUUCUCCUUUAAUAGUAAGGAAGAAAUAAUAAGAUUGUGCGCCGAGACGAUCCAAUUGCCGAGAUGCUAUAACUGUACAUUAUUACGUGCAUCAAUUCUUGCGAUCGCAUCAGUGCAACUGCAACUUCACUAAUCACAUUUCGAUGUUCUAUGCUCUUAACUGCGCAAAAAUUAUUCACCAUAAAUCACAAAUGCGAAUAAGAUUAUUAGUAAUUGACCAUAAAAGUUGCCAAGUAUAAAUAGCGAUAGCAUGUAGCGAUCUCGUGAUUUAUGAAAUUAACGUUCGUAAUUUAAGAAAUUACGGUACAUUUUUUUUCUUAGAGGAAGCCUUGAAUUAUGAAAAUAUAAAUAUGAAUGACGAAAUUAAUAAUACGUAAACAAGUUCUGAACAAGGCAUUUAAUUACGACAAUAUUAUUAAAUGUAUUAAAAAUAUAUUUUAUAUGCAUUAAAUUAAAAAAUAAAAUCAAACUCGUUAAAUUUUCCCGAAUACAUCAAAACUCAGAUAUUCAAUAUCUUCUCGUAAAGUAAAUCUAUCCGUAAAUAUAUAGCCAAACUUAUUCUUCGACGAGCAUUAAGGUGAUGUCGGAAAAAUUAAUCGGUCGCCCGACAUCGCUUUUACGGCGGGCUCGUUAAUCGCGUGGAGAUUAACGAGGGGGCCCUCCAUCUAAACACUUUAAACAACCGCAGUGCAUCGAUCCUCGAAGUGUCGCGCCAAAAUUUAUCGCGAUUCCUUUCUCUUCGUGUUCAACAAUCUCAGUCCCAAUCCCGACCCGUCCUUUCGGUGGUAUGUAUCGAAGCGCACUCAUGUCACCGAAAAGAAAGAAAGCAAGUGAAUCGCGAGGAUCGCCAAACGAUCGUCAGCUCGGUCUUGAAGCAACUUUUUCUCCUGCAUCAGGAGACAAUUAGUUGCCUCGAGAAUCUGGAGGUUCUUUGAUCCAUAAAUAAGCCGUGCGUAAUAAAGAAAAAUUAAUUAGCACCUCAUUGACGAUCCCGCGAGAUUGAGGGUCGAUGUAGUCAUCAAGGACUGUUAGAAUAUAAUCGGUGUAAUAAUUCGAGAUUUUAUUAUUUUUGUAUAAUACGUUGUACGGUAAAGAAAAUUUUUUUCUCCUCGAAAUUUUUUUCUCCUCGAUAGACGAUAAUUAGUUAUGCCAAGAUCUUGCGGAUUUUUAGCUUAUAUGUAAACGUGUCGACUGUGCAUAAUGAAGAAAAAAUAAUUAAUUAUAUUAUGUCCUAUCGAUCUUGAAUUAUCGAGGGAAACAACAUAACAUCAUCAAGGUCUAUUACUGGUUCAUCGGUGUGAUAAUCGAUAAAACAGCAUAUUUUACGCUUAAUUUAUUCUUGUGUGACAUCAUUUUUACUAACAAAAAAUGUCUUACAAAAUUAUUUAUUAAUUUUCUGAGAAAUUAAUUUAUUAAGUUUCUUCUUACAAAAAAAAUCAAA